rnacentral:rRNA from 1 species
AGGACGAACGCUGGCGGCGUGCUUAACACAUGCAAGUCGAACGGUGAAGCCUUUCGGGGUGGAUCAGUGGCGAACGGGUGAGUAACACGUGGGUAACCUGCCCUCCACUCUGGGAUAACUCCGGGAAACCGGGGCUAAUACCGGAUAUGACCUGAGGCGGCAUCGCCUCGGGUGGAAAGUUUUUCGGUGGAGGAUGGACCCGCGGCCUAUCAGCUUGUUGGUGGGGUAAUGGCCUACCAAGGCGAUGACGGGUAGCCGGCCUGAGAGGGCGACCGGCCACACUGGGACUGAGACACGGCCCAGACUCCUACGGGAGGCAGCAGUGGGGAAUAUUGCACAAUGGGCGAAAGCCUGAUGCAGCGACGCCGCGUGAGGGAUGACGGCCUUCGGGUUGUAACCUCUUUCAGCAGGACGAAGCGCAAGUGACUGUACCUGCAGAAGAAGCACCGGCUAACUACGUGCCAGCAGCCGC